rnacentral:snoRNA from 1 species
GGUAAAUUGGAGUUUAAAGGAUGAUACUUUUUAAAAUCUUCGCCAGUCUAUUGAGAACAGAAUCGUGCCCUGCAAGGCAUUGUUUUAAGACCAUCCCACGAAUUGAUUUUUGUGAGUGGAAGAAUUUUGGGCCUUGAUUUUGAACCGUUUUGGUUUCAGGUCUUGUAGGUUUCAGGUCUUCUGCUGUUGGGGUCUUUUAAUGUAAUGAGUGAUUGGUAUUUAAAUUGUCAUAGUUACACUGAAUCAGCUCCCAAUAUACC